rnacentral:rRNA from 1 species
UGAUCAUGGCUCAGGACGAACGCUGGCGGCGUGCUUAACACAUGCAAGUCGAACGAUGAAGCCUAGCUUGCUAGGUGGAUUAGUGGCGAACGGGUGAGUAAUACGUGAGUCGACCUACCUUUGACUCUGGGAUAAGCCUGGGAAACUGGGUCUAAUACCGGAUACGACCAAUCUCCGCAUGGGGUGUUGGUGGAAAGCGUUAUGGAGUGGUUUUAGAUGGGCUCACGGCCUAUCAGCUUGUUGGUGAGGUAAUGGCUUACCAAGGCGACGACGGGUAGCCGGCCUGAGAGGGUGACCGGCCACACUGGGACUGAGACACGGCCCAGACUCCUACGGGAGGCAGCAGUGGGGAAUAUUGCACAAUGGGCGCAAGCCUGAUGCAGCGACGCCGCGUGAGGGAUGACGGCCUUCGGGUUGUAAACCUCUGUUAGCAUCGAAGAAGCGAAAGUGACGGUAGGUGCAGAGAAAGCGCCGGCUAACUACGUGCCAGCAGCCGCGGUAAUACGUAGGGCGCGAGCGUUGUCCGGAAUUAUUGGGCGUAAAGAGCUUGUAGGCGGUUGGUCGCGUCUGCUGUGAAAGGCUGGGGCUUAACCCUGGUUUUGCAGUGGGUACGGGCUAACUAGAGUGCAGUAGGGGAGACUGGAAUUCCUGGUGUAGCGGUGGAAUGCGCAGAUAUCAGGAGGAACACCGAUGGCGAAGGCAGGUCUCUGGGCUGUAACUGACGCUGAGAAGCGAAAGCAUGGGGAGCGAACAGGAUUAGAUACCCUGGUAGUCCAUGCCGUAAACGUUGGGCACUAGGUGUGGGGGACAUUCCACGUUUUCCGCGCCGUAGCUAACGCAUUAAGUGCCCCGCCUGGGGAGUACGGCCGCAAGGCUAAAACUCAAAGAAAUUGACGGGGGCCCGCACAAGCGGCGGAGCAUGCGGAUUAAUUCGAUGCAACGCGAAGAACCUUACCAAGGCUUGACAUAUACUGGACUGCGUCAGAGAUGGCGUUUCCCUUCGGGGCUGGUAUACAGGUGGUGCAUGGUUGUCGUCAGCUCGUGUCGUGAGAUGUUGGGUUAAGUCCCGCAACGAGCGCAACCCUCGUUCUAUGUUGCCAGCACGUGAUGGUGGGGACUCAUAGGAGACUGCCGGGGUCAAACUCGGAGGAAGGUGGGGAUGACGUCAAAUCAUCAUGCCCCUUAUGUCUUGGGCUUCACGCAUGCUACAAUGGCCGGUACAGAGGGUUGCGAUACUGUGAGGUGGAGCUAAUCCCUAAAAAGCCGGUCUCAGUUUCGGAUUGGGGUCUGCAAACUCGACCCCUUGAAGUCGGAGUCGCUAGUAAUCGCAGAUCAGCAAACGCUGCGGUAAAUACGUUCCCGGGCCUUGUACCCACCGCCC